AGUUGAUGUGAGGAUAAAACUUUCACAGAAACUCUUUUGAUGUGUUGACCCUAAAAUUCAGACUACAAUUAUCUGAUCAGCU
rnacentral:snoRNA from 17 species